GAUGAACGCUGACAGAAUGCUUAACACAUGCAAGUCGAUGGGGAAGUGGUGCUUGCACCAUGGCAACCAUGGCGGACGGGUGAGUAACGCGUAAGGGACUUACCUGCAGGACUGGGAUAACAGGGGGAAACUCCUGACAAGACCGGCUAAUGUCAUGGAGCUGCAUGGCUUUAUGAUGAAAGGAGACGCCUGCGGAGAGCCUUGCGUCCUAUUAGCUAGUUGGUGAGGUAAUGGCUCACCAAGGCGAAGAUAGGUAGCCGGCCUGAGAGGGUGGACGGCCACAAGGGGACUGAGAUACGGCACUUACCACUACGGGAGGCAGCAGUGGGGAAUAUUGGACAAUGGGGGCAACCCUGAUCCAGCAAUUCCGUGUGCACGAAGAAGGUUUUCGGAUUGUAAAGUGCUUUCAGCAGGGAAGAAGUAAGUGACGGUACCUGCAGAAGAAGCGACGGCUAAAUACGUG
rnacentral:rRNA from 1 species